rnacentral:rRNA from 1 species
UACGUAGGGUGCAAGCGUUAAUCGGAAUUACUGGGCGUAAAGCGUGCGUAGACGGUUAUGUAAGUCGGGUGUGAAAGCCCCGGGCUCAACCUGGGAAUUGCAUUCGAGACUGCAUAGCUAGGAUGCGGAAGAGGGAAGUGGAAUUUCCGGUGUAGCGGUGAAAUGCGUAGAUAUCGGAAGGAACAUCAGUGGCGAAAGCGGCUACCUGGACAAUUGCUGACGCUCAGGCACGAAAGCGUGGGGAGCAAAAGGG